GGCACCAUGGCUAAGCCGGCUAAAGCGCUUGUCCAGUAAACAGGAGAGCCUGGGUUCAACUCCCAGUGGUGUCU